UAUUUAAUUAAUUCUAUUAAUAAUUAUAUACUUAUUUCAAAGAUUAAAUUAUAUAUAUUUAAAUUUAAGUAAUUAAAUUAUAAAAUUGUAAAUAGCUUAUUAAAUUAAUUAUAAUUUAUUUAAUAGUACCUUAUUAUAUAGAUAACUAUAGUAAUUCUAGAGUUAAUAUAUACUAAAAACCCCGACUUUGGAAGGGGUAUAUUUAUUAAAUUAAAAACUAAUGCCCUUCGGGGCUAAUUAGUAAUUUAUAAUAACUUCUCGAAUUAUAUAGCCUUAUACUAGCGAUAGUUUAUUUAAAUUUCUACCCUAUUAAUUUUCGACGGUUGGGUUUUGGCUAGCUAUAGUAAUAAUAGGUAAUGGAGGGUUAAAGUUUAAUUCCGGAGAAGGAGUUUGAGAAACGGCUACUAUAUUUAAGGAAGGUAGUAGGUAUAUAAAUUAUCUAAUUCUAAUAUAAGGAGGUAGUAAUAAUAAAUAUUAAUAUAGGGCUCUUUUAGGUCUUAUAAUUAGAAUAAAUAUAAUUUAAAUCCUUUAACGAAAAAUAAUUGGAGGGUAAAUUUAAUACUAGUAGCCGCAGUAAUUCUAGCUCUAAUAGCGUAUAUUAAAGUUAUUGAGGUUAAAAAGUUUAUAAUUGAACCUUGGGUUUAAUCCGUUGGUCCGCCUUAUUAUAUAUAUUAAUUGGGUCGGGCCUUUUUUCUUGGAGAAUUGUAUACCCUUUACUAGGUAUAUUGGAGAAUUAGGACUUUUACUAUAAAUAAAUUAAAUUAUUUAAAGAAGGCCUAUAUUCGAAUAUAUUAGUAUAGAAUAAUAGAAUAGAAUAUAUAGUUUUAUUUUAUUAAUUUUUAGGAUUAUUAUAAUAAUUAAUAGGGAUAAUCGGGGGUAUUAGUAUUUAAUUAUUAAAGGUAAAAUUCUUAAAUUUAUUAAAAAUUAACUAUUAUAAAAGUAUUUACUAAAGAUAUUUUUAUUAAUUAGGAACGAAAGUUAAGGGAUUAAAGACAAUUAGAUACUAUUAUAGUUUUAAUUAUAAAUUAUACUAAUUAAGGAUUAGACGGUAUUAUUUUUUAACCCGUUCGGUACCUUAUAAUAAAUUAAAAUAUUUAAGCUCCUAAGGGAAUAUAGUUGUAAGGUUAAAAUUUAAAGAAAUUAACGGAAGGGUACUACUAGAGGUAGAGCCUACGGUUUAAUUUAAUUUAAUAUAGGGAAAUUUAUUAAAUUUAAAUAUAAUAAAGAUUAAUAAAUUAAGAGUUCUUUCUUAAUUUUAUAGGUAGUAGUAUAUAACUGUUUUUAGUUAGUAAAGUAAUUUAUUUGUUUAAUUAUAAUAACGAACGAGAUUUUAAUUUAUUAAAUAGUUUGUAUUAUUUUAGUAGUACGCUAGCUUCUUAAAGGGACUAUCGGCUUAAGCCAAUAGAAGUUUAAAGUAAUAAUAGGUUUAUAAUACCUUUAAAUAUUCUAAGCUGUAUGUACGUUAUAUUAAUAUAAUUAAUAAAUACUCCCUUAGCCGGAAAGUUUAAGUAAUUUUGUUAAAUUGUAUUAUAUUAGGGAUAGAGUAUUGUAAUUAUUACUCUUUAACGAGGAAUCCCUAAUAAGCGUAAAUUAUUAAUUUACAUUAAUUAUAUCCCUACCUUUUAUAUAUACCGCCCGUUAUUACUAUUAAUUAAAUAGUUUAGUAAAGUUUCCGGACUAAUUUAAGGAGGUUGGUAACAAUUACUUAAGGCCGGAAAACUAUUUAAAUUUAGUUAUUUAGAGGAAGUAAAAAUUGUAAUAAAAUCUCUAUUAGUAAAUUAGUAGAAGGAUUAUUA
rfam:Neurospora crassa OR74A unplaced genomic scaffold supercont12.8, whole genome shotgun sequence.